UGGCAAUGGUGACCUGGGUAACGAAUACAACCUGGCCGGAGAGUGUCACUAGGCCCUUGCUGUUCAUAUAGAAAAUAACAUGGAUCGGAAACUACAGGGAUCUGUAUGAGGAACGUGGAGCCGCACAGGACGUAGCUCAGCUAUUCAGACAUAGCAUUGGGAUGCACCUGAAACACUAAUGGUGUGAAGAUGGUCUCUAUUGAUGACUUCAGUUCAGAAGAAAUAAUUAAGGAAUUGUGCAUGUGCAAUGGUGUAAAUUAUGACAGAAUUAGACAAGAUGGACCAGCAACCAAAACGCUUGAAAUGUUCUUUUCUGGCUACCCUCAAAUGGUGGGGCUCUGUUAUUUUCCAAAUCUUACCAACUUGACUAUUGUCGGACAGAGUAUAGAAAGUAUCUGCAACCUAGAAUCGUGCCCGCUACUUGAAGAACUGUGGAUUACAGAGGGUCAGCUAACAAGAAUCGAAGGACUUCAAGUCUGCCACCAUUUGAAAAAAUUAUUCCUUUAUCAUAACAGCAUUACUACUAUUGAGGGUUUGGAAAACCUAGAGAAAUUGGAAGUAUUGUGGCUAAAUGAUAAUGAAAUUGAAGUAAUAGAGGGAUUGGAUACACUGCAGAGUCUUAAAGAACUUAAUCUGGCUGGAAACUUGAUACACUCAAUAGGCAGCUGCCUAGAUCCAAAUGUUCAUCUGGAGAGAUUAAAUCUGUCUGGUAAUAAAAUAUCUUCUUUUAAGGAGAUUACUAAUUUAUCAAGACUUCCAAACCUAAAGGAUUUAGGUCUCAAAGAUCCACAAUAUAGUCCCAAUCUGGUCUGCCUUUUCUGUAAUUACGUGACGCAUGUGUUAUAUCAUAUACCGCAGCUACAGAGACUUGAUACAUAUGAUGUAUCGCAUAAACAAAUCAAGGAUUUAGCAGAAUCUACAGUGAUGAAAAAACUGAUGUAUUACAAUAUGCGUAUGAAGACAGUUCGCAGACAACUGAGGGAAGAAUUAGAAAAACUGAAAGAUCUGAAGAAUAAACUGAAACAGACACCACAGGACAGAAUUAAGCGACUGAUUUUCCUUGUGAAAAGUCUAGAAGAGGACCAAUCAGAUGAUAGCCUACAGGCAUUAAAUAAGAACCAGAACAACAUUUUCAAAUCUUAUGAUCAUACUGAACAGCAAAGUGCUAUUGAGGAAUUUAAAUCAUUGGAAAAGGAAGAAAGCAACGGAAGUGACUCGGUCCUGAAAGAGCAAAUAUGCCAAAAGUUGAGUGCUCUAAAGGAGAGAAUACAGUUCUGGACACAAAGAAUGGAUGAGAUAGACACUUUUCAUGAGAAAGAAGUUGUGAGGACGGAGCAAAGCUUUGAUGUUUUGUCCCAGUUCUUACAGACAGAGCUUGAAACCGUAGGGAAUGUCCGCUUUGAAGAAGGCACUCCAGCAGAUUCAUGGUUCAAGUCUUGUUAUGAUCUGAUUUUAUCACGCUUCUGUGCAUUUAACUUUAAAACAUUCGGGAUCACCGGUGUGAAGAUAAAUCGAAUUGUCAGAGUGCACAAUCGAAUCUUACGAUUCAGGUUUGAGGAAAGACUUCAGGAUUACCUUGACAAUGAAGAUGGCACCGCCGCAGUUAACUACAAAAAGAUGCUAGAAUAUCUUUUUUAUACCCUGGACCCCAUUAUGUCUUUUGAAAAGAACAACCUUCUCCAUAUUCUUGAGGAUGGGUUUAAGAUGACAAAAAGUUCCCAGUUGUAUGAUCAAGAACAAGAAGAAGCUGUUCGCCUCGCCAACAGUUUGGGAUUUUAUGAGUCUCCUAAAUUGGAGGAAGAAGCAAACAAAGAGACAAAUCAUUAUGAUCCAGAACUCUUUAAACAUGGUAAACUUAUCAUCUCUAAAGUGUUUCUUGGCCAUAGUGUUCAAGCACAAGAAUUUCUGCCCAUUAAUCCUACUAAUUUUCCUGAUGCUACAUCUGUCUUCAGACCCCUGAAACUAAACAGCAGCACUGAGUGUUCUCCAGACGAUGAAAUUUGUCCUUCUAAGGAACAUGAGAACUGUGACUGCAGCCUCCGCCGCUGUGAUUGGUUUGUGUUUGACACUGAUCUGAUUUUGCCAGAGUAUGUUGUUGAGUAUGAAUACAUUACACAGGGAAUGUCCAACAAGACUUGUAAUUUUACUGCUGUAGAAUUCUCAGAUGAAAUUAAGUUGGAUGAAGACGUUAUUUCCAUGGAACCAAUUAUUAAAUCCAGGCCCAAAAUAAUUGCUCUGGAUGAAGGGACCAUUCUUUCCAUUGCAAAAGCCAAUCUCUACAGCCAAAUAACAAUAUUGAACUUACAUGACAACAGUUUAAGUAAACUAAAGGAAAUUUCUAAACUUAAUGGUCUUCAGAAGCUUAUAAUAAGUUUUAAUGAGGUCACCAGUCUGGAAGAUGUUUCAAAUCUGCCCAAUUUGGAAUACCUGGAUGCCAGCCAUAACCGUGUGAUAAGUCUGGAAGGUUUUAAAGGCAAUGGUAAACUGAAGUACCUAGACUUGAGCUGGAACCAGUUAACAAGGACGAUGGAUGAGAUUAAUGUUUUGCGCAAACAUACAGCCCACCUUCUUACACUAAACCUCGCUUAUAACCCAUGGCAUAAGCCUGCUUUAGUGCGGAAGACAGCGAUUGGGAGAUUGAAGUCGCUGACUCAUUUAGAUGGAGCGCUAGUCACCGGAGAAGAGGUUUCUGAAUCAUCAAAGUUCCCUGCUGGAGCCCGGAUUACACAGGCAUUGCUAAAGAUCACGGCAAGAACAGACAGCAUUAGACCACGUUGCCUUAGUCUACUACCUUCUGCUCAGAUCAUCUCUCAAAUUAGCAAGAACUCCCUGGAUCCUUAUGCUGAAUUUAAUAACAGCUGGUAUCAUAUGAUUACAACAUUAAAUCUUGAUGGACAGAAUCUCUCCAGAAUCACAAAUUUAGAGAAGCUGGAAAACCUUCGAUGGGUAUCUUUCAGCCACAAUCAUCUAUCCAGAAUUGAAGGUCUACAAAAUUGUGUAAAGAUAGAAGAGCUAUGUCUAGAUGGAAAUUGCAUCACAAAACUAGAUGGACUCUCAAAACUUGUGAAACUCUGGCACCUCAGCAUUAACAGUAACCAGCUUACAAGUUUCAACAGAGAAGUUAUUGAUAAUCUGUCUCAUCUUCACUUUCUGUCUGCUGAGAACAAUCACAUCAGCUCGCUGGCCGGUCUGCAGAAAGCCCACUCCUUAAUAGAACUCUACCUGAGCAAUAACCAAAUAUGUGACAACCAAGAAAUCUACCACCUUAAGGGUUUAAACAACCUUGUGAUUUUGGAUUUGUACAGUAAUCCAAUAUCCCUGAAACAUGAAAACUAUCGAUUGUUUCUUAUCUUUCAUUUGACAUCCUUAAAAGCUCUGGAUGGAUCUGCAAUGGACCCAGUGGAGUGUGAAAACGCUAAGGACAUGUUUGGAGGUCGGCUUAGUUCCGAUAUGGUUGCUGAAAAAAUUGGACAUCAGAAUUUUACUAAAUUGCAAGAGUUAAAUUGGAGAUCCUCAUCAAUUAGAUCAGUUGACCUUGUUCCAGCUGACCAGUUUAUGAACAUUCACACGGUAAAUCUAGAGAAUAACAAUAUGACUUCAUUCAGCGGCUUAAUCUUCCUGCCACACGUAAAGAAUUUGUAUCUUAACUACAACCACAUUGAGUCCAUCCUGCCCAGACAGAAGUCUCAGAAUCACCUGACCAAUCGGCAGAUACUUCACCAGAAAGUUAACUCCAGUGGAUAUGGGCAGCAGGGCAAGAAUAACAGAGAUACAUUAUUUGGGGAGUCUCUGUCUCCGAUAAUGCAGAGUUUAGAGGUGCUCCACUUGGGUUACAAUGGCAUCAGUAAUUUGCAGCAGUUGCAGCUCAGCAGACUGAGAAACUUGAAAUCUCUGUUUUUGCAGGGAAAUGAGAUAAGCCAAGUGGAAGGACUGGAAGGUUUACAGUUUCUUCAAGAACUUGUGCUGGACCAUAACCGUAUUAAAGUGAUCACAGAGACUUCAUUUGCCAAGCAGAGUUCUCUCAUCUCCCUCCGUAUGGAAGAAAACAGACUCCGUGAUGUUAACAAUCUACACCCACUUGUUAAAUUGAAGAAACUGUUUAUUGGAUUUAAUAAAAUUCAGGAAGUUUCAGAACUGGAGGCAAUCCCUACUCUACAAGAGCUUUCUAUUUCUGGAAACCCAAUUUCCCGUAAGAUGUUCCACCGCCAGCUUAUAGUGCUCCGGCUACAAAACCUGCAGAUAUUAGAUGGCAUUGCCGUGACCUCUGAGGAGAAAGCAAGGGCAGAGAUGCAUUUCCUGGAACAGCAAGCUUUAUCUGGACAGAAUAAUGGCAUAGAAGUGGGGCAUCAAGCAUCCACACUGAUUUUAAGUAAGGCACCGCCAUUACUUGUCACCACUGUCUGCCUACCAGGAGGAAACCACCACCUUGUUCCAGGCCCCGAUCUCUACUUAAAUAUGCCACAAGAUGACACCUUCCCAAGUGACUUAAACAAAUACAAGAAAACCAAGCACCAUGGAGGUGUGAUGAAUAACCCACGCAGCGUGAAUGCAGAAAUUGCUUUCAGGCAGUUCAAAGGAGGAACAAGUAUUUCUUCCACGUACUUACAACAAGGCAACCAGAAUCGAGCAGCGCACUUCCAAGCAAACAAUCUGGAGCAAGAAGGAAGAACACAUGGGAACGGGUCAGUUCGUCAGAACCGGAUGUGAGACAUACAGUCUAAUAGGACAGGAGUAAGCACAGAGGAGUGCUUAUCCCACCCUCACUUACUGAACUCCCUGCCUUUGCUUCAGCUGAGACAAAGACGAUGGUGCAGCCGGAGAGGAUUUUGUUCUGGAUGGUAUGGGGACCCCUAGCAGUCAUUUUUAUGAUUCAUGAAUUCUAGAAAAAGGAUAUCAACUUUUCUUAUAAAGUAUAUUAACAAGAUUAAAAAGAUAUUUGAAGCAGUUGGUGCCUCUGGAGUCCCACGGACAUCAAGGUGUAGAGUCCUCCAGAGUCUUGCAACUGUGCAUAAACCUUCUAUUCGGCCACCACUAACCAAUGCUCACAAGCAGAAAUGGCUGCAUUGGGCAGAAAAAUACAUGAAGACUAAUUUCCAAACAGUCCUGUUCACUGAUGAGUGCCGUGCAACCCUGGAUGGUCCAGAUGGAUGGAGUAGUGGAUAAUUGGUGGAUGGCCACCCUGUUCCAACAAGGCUGAGACGUUAGGUGGUGGAGUCAUGUUUUGGGCCGGAAACAUGGGAAGAGAGCUGGUCGGCCCCUUUAGGGUCCCCAAAGGUGUAAAGAUGACCUCUGCAAAGUAUGUGGAGUUGCUGACUGACCACUUUCUUCCUUGGUACAGAAGGAAUACCUAUGCUUUCCAUAAUAAAAUCAUCUUCAUGCAUGACAAUGCACCAUCUCAUGCUGCAAAAAAUACCUCUGCAUCAAUGGCUGCUAUGGGGUUAAAAGGAGAGAAAGUCAUGGUGUUGCCUCCAUCCUCCCCUGACCUCAAUCCUAUUGCGAACCUAUGGAGCAUCCUCAAGCAAAAGAUCUAUGAGGGUAGGAGGCAGUUUACAUCCAAACAGCAGCUCUGGGAAGCUAUUCUGACAUCUUGCAAACAAAUUCAAGCUGAAACUGUCCAAAAACUCACAAGUUCAAUGGAUGCCAGACUUGUGAAGCUGCUAGAGGUCCUAUGUUAAAAUGUA